rnacentral:rRNA from 1 species
CAGUAGCCGCGGUAAUGCGUAGGGUGCGAGCGUUAAUCGGAAUUACUGGGCGUAAAGCGUGCGCAGGCGGUUGUGUAAGACAGGUGUGAAAUCCCCGGGCUUAACCUGGGAACUGCGCUUGUGACUGCACAGCUAGAGUAUGGCAGAGGGGGGUGGAAUUCCACGUGUAGCAGUGAAAUGCGUAGAGAUGUGGAGGAACACCGAUGGCGAAGGCAGCCCCCUGGGCCAAUACUGACGCUCAUGCACGAAAGCGUGGGGAGCAAACAGGAUUAGAUACCCCCGUAGUCCCUGUCUCUUAUAC